rnacentral:rRNA from 1 species
GGGUUGUGAGGUUAAGCGACUAAGCGUACACGGUGGAUGCCCUGGCAGUCAGAGGCGAUGAAGGACGUGCUAAUCUGCGAUAAGCGUCGGUAAGGUGAUAUGAACCGUUAUAACCGGCGAUUUCCGAAUGGGGAAACCCAGUGUGUUUCGACACACUAUCAUUAACUGAAUCCAUAGGUUAAUGAGGCGAACCGGGGGAACUGAAACAUCUAAGUACCCCGAGGAAAAGAAAUCAACCGAGAUUCCCCCAGUAGCGGCGAGCGAACGGGGAGCAGCCCAGAGCCUGAAUCAGUGUGUGUGUUAGUGGAAGCGUCUGGAAAGGCGCGCGAUACAGGGUGACAGCCCCGUACACAAAAAUGCACAUGCUGUGAGCUCGAUGAGUAGGGCGGGACACGUGGUAUCCUGUCUGAAUAUGGGGGGACCAUCCUCCAAGGCUAAAUACUCCUGACUGACCGAUAGUGAACCAGUACCGUGAGGGAAAGGCGAAAAGAACCCCGGCGAGGGGAGUGAAAAAGAACCUGAAACCGUGUACGUACAAGCAGUGGGAGCACGCUUAGGCGUGUGACUGCGUACCUUUUGUAUAAUGGGUCAGCGACUUAUAUUCUGUAGCAAGGUUAACCGAAUAGGGGAGCCGAAGGGAAACCGAGUCUUAACUGGGCGUUAAGUUGCAGGGUAUAGACCCGAAACCCGGUGAUCUAGCCAUGGGCAGGUUGAAGGUUGGGUAACACUAACUGGAGGACCGAACCGACUAAUGUUGAAAAAUUAGCGGAUGACUUGUGGCUGGGGGUGAAAGGCCAAUCAAACCGGGAGAUAGCUGGUUCUCCCCGAAAGCUAUUUAGGUAGCGCCUCGUGAAUUCAUCUCCGGGGGUAGAGCACUGUUUCGGCAAGGGGGUCAUCCCGACUUACCAACCCGAUGCAAACUGCGAAUACCGGAGAAUGUUAUCACGGGAGACACACGGCGGGUGCUAACGUCCGUCGUGAAGAGGGAAACAACCCAGACCGCCAGCUAAGGUCCCAAAGUCAUGGUUAAGUGGGAAACGAUGUGGGAAGGCCCAGACAGCCAGGAUGUUGGCUUAGAAGCAGCCAUCAUUUAAAGAAAGCGUAAUAGCUCACUGGUCGAGUCGGCCUGCGCGGAAGAUGUAACGGGGCUAAACCAUGCACCGAAGCUGCGGCAGCGACGCUUAUGCGUUGUUGGGUAGGGGAGCGUUCUGUAAGCCUGCGAAGGUGUGCUGUGAGGCAUGCUGGAGGUAUCAGAAGUGCGAAUGCUGACAUAAGUAACGAUAAAGCGGGUGAAAAGCCCGCUCGCCGGAAGACCAAGGGUUCCUGUCCAACGUUAAUCGGGGCAGGGUGAGUCGACCCCUAAGGCGAGGCCGAAAGGCGUAGUCGAUGGGAAACAGGUUAAUAUUCCUGUACUUGGUGUUACUGCGAAGGGGGGACGGAGAAGGCUAUGUUGGCCGGGCGACGGUUGUCCCGGUUUAAGCGUGUAGGCUGGUUUUCCAGGCAAAUCCGGAAAAUCAAGGCUGAGGCGUGAUGACGAGGCACUACGGUGCUGAAGCAACAAAUGCCCUGCUUCCAGGAAAAGCCUCUAAGCAUCAGGUAACAUCAAAUCGUACCCCAAACCGACACAGGUGGUCAGGUAGAGAAUACCAAGGCGCUUGAGAGAACUCGGGUGAAGGAACUAGGCAAAAUGGUGCCGUAACUUCGGGAGAAGGCACGCUGAUAUGUAGGUGAGGCCUCGCGGAUGGAGCUGAAAUCAGUCGAAGAUACCAGCUGGCUGCAACUGUUUAUUAAAAACACAGCACUGUGCAAACACGAAAGUGGACGUAUACGGUGUGACGCCUGCCCGGUGCCGGAAGGUUAAUUGAUGGGGUUAGCGCAAGCGAAGCUCUUGAUCGAAGCCCCGGUAAACGGCGGCCGUAACUAUAACGGUCCUAAGGUAGCGAAAUUCCUUGUCGGGUAAGUUCCGACCUGCACGAAUGGCGUAAUGAUGGCCAGGCUGUCUCCACCCGAGACUCAGUGAAAUUGAACUCGCUGUGAAGAUGCAGUGUACCCGCGGCAAGACGGAAAGACCCCGUGAACCUUUACUAUAGCUUGACACUGAACAUUGAGCCUUGAUGUGUAGGAUAGGUGGGAGGCUUUGAAGUGUGGACGCCAGUCUGCAUGGAGCCGACCUUGAAAUACCACCCUUUAAUGUUUGAUGUUCUAACGUUGACCCGUAAUCCGGGUUGCGGACAGUGUCUGGUGGGUAGUUUGACUGGGGCGGUCUCCUCCUAAAGAGUAACGGAGGAGCACGAAGGUUGGCUAAUCCUGGUCGGACAUCAGGAGGUUAGUGCAAUGGCAUAAGCCAGCUUGACUGCGAGCGUGACGGCGCGAGCAGGUGCGAAAGCAGGUCAUAGUGAUCCGGUGGUUCUGAAUGGAAGGGCCAUCGCUCAACGGAUAAAAGGUACUCCGGGGAUAACAGGCUGAUACCGCCCAAGAGUUCAUAUCGACGGCGGUGUUUGGCACCUCGAUGUCGGCUCAUCACAUCCUGGGGCUGAAGUAGGUCCCAAGGGUAUGGCUGUUCGCCAUUUAAAGUGGUACGCGAGCUGGGUUUAGAACGUCGUGAGACAGUUCGGUCCCUAUCUGCCGUGGGCGCUGGAGAACUGAGGGGGGCUGCUCCUAGUACGAGAGGACCGGAGUGGACGCAUCACUGGUGUUCGGGUUGUCAUGCCAAUGGCACUGCCCGGUAGCUAAAUGCGGAAGAGAUAAGUGCUGAAAGCAUCUAAGCACGAAACUUGCCCCGAGAUGAGUUCUCCCUGACCCUUUAAGGGUCCUGAAGGAACGUUGAAGACGACGACGUUGAUAGGCCGGGUGUGUAAGCGCAGCGAUGCGUUGAGCUAACCGGUACUAAUGAACCGUGAGGCUUAACCUUACAACGCCGAAGCUGUU